ACGUAAGGGACGACAUCAAAAGAUCGAUGUAGGAUAAAAAACUUAAAUCGAAUAGUUUGGGGGUGGGGGGGUCAACAUUGCUAUAAGUUUUAUUAAUCUAAAAUCGAUUUUACACAUAUCCAUAUAGGUAAAUCAAUUUUUCCCAAAUUAAGUUAAGAAGGGGGGUAGGGGGGUCAGCGAAAAAACUAUGUGAAUUAAGUUUUUUAUCCUACAUUGAACUUUUGAUGUCGUCCCUAACGCUAUCAA
rnacentral:lncRNA from 1 species